rnacentral:rRNA from 1 species
GCAACGAGCGCAACCCUUGUCUCUAGUUGCUACGAAAGGGCACUCUAGAGAGACUGCCGGUGACAAACCGGAGGAAGGUGGGGAUGACGUCAAGUCCUCAUGGCCCUUAUGGGUAGGGCUUCACACGUCAUACAAUGGUGCAUACAGAGGGUUGCCAAGCCGCGAGGUGGAGCUAAUCCCAGAAAAUGCAUCGUAGUCCGGAUCGUAGUCUGCAACUCGACUACGUGAAGCUGGAAUCGCUAGUAAUCGCGGAUCAGCAUGCCGCGGUGAAUACGUUCCCGGGUCUUGUACACACCGCCCGUCACACCAUGGGAGUGGGCUUUACCAGAAGUAGUUAGCCUAACCGCGAGGAGGGCGAUUACCACGGUAGGGUUCAUGACUGGGGUGAAGUCGUAACAAGGUAACCGU